rnacentral:lncRNA from 1 species
GACCUCAGGGCCCGGGUACAGGAGAGUCUGUGCUGCACUGAAGGCAGGACCACAUAAACGAGGCGCACUUGAGCCUCGGAGGGCUUCGCUGCUAAUCAGUCGCGUUUAUCAGCUCCCUCAGGCGCAGGGCACUACUAGGGCAUUGCCCAGAGAUACGACACCCGCCCAGACCAGCGCAGGGCACUACUAGGGCAUUGCCCAGAGAUACGACACCCGCCCAGACCAGCGCAAGGAGGCGAAAGCGAC